UUUUACUACAAUGAAACUUUUGGUCAGAAGAUGAAGUUUCAAAACUCAAUUCAAGAUUGAGUUUUUGGGGCAGCCCUAAAAAUCCCUGAAGAAACCCCAAUUUGAUUUAAGAAAUUUUUUGGCUACCCACAACAAUUUGAGUAUAUUUCUUUAUUUUUGGAAGCUGACUUGGAAAACAGAGGCGGGGGGAGGGGGGAACAGUGCCAAAGGGGGAUCAUUGGAGGAAAAUUUUCAUAUCAUUUGUACAGUAUCGUGAUUUUCAUUUAUUAAAAUGUACAUCAGGGAAACAUGACAAAAACAUGGGCUGAUUUACUGGGGGCCGGGGGUAAUCCCCCUUCUCUCUAACCCCUCUUAUAAAGUUUUCAGCCCCACCAAAAUUUUGCUUCACCCCUCCUAUUUUGUCAUGUGUGAAGUCUUCAACCCUUAGACCCCUCUAAAUAGCUUGCUCAAUGGUGCCACUUGCACUCCUCUAGAAAUUUUUCCACUCCUAAUGAAAAUCCGCCCUUGGACGAAAAUUUAUGGCAAGUUCAUGGCAUGCCUAUAUAAAUAACAUAAGGUGUUCACCCCUAUAUCAGUCUAAGAUGAGGUUUAUACCCCUGCCCCUAUGUUACCAUAAGGUGUCAACCCCUAUACGAUUGUAAGAUGAGGUUUAUACCCCUGCCCCUAUAAAUAACAUAAGGCAUUCACCCCUAUAUCAGUGCAAGAUAAGGUUUAUACCCCUGCCUCUAUAUGUAACAUAAGGUGUGCACCCCUAUAUCAGUGUAAGAGAAGGUUUAUAUACCUGCCUCUAUAUGUAACAUAAGGCAUUCACCCCUAUAUCAGUGUAAGAUAAGGUUUAUACCCCUGCCCCUAUGUGUAACAUUAGGUGUCCACCCCUAUAAUCCUAUAUCAGGUAAGAUAAGGUUUUUACCCCUGCCCCUAUGACUGAAACAUAAGGUGUCCACCCCUAUAUCAGUGUAAGAUAAUAUUUAUACCCCUGCCUCUAUAUGUAACAUAAGGUGUGCACCCCUAUAUCAGUGUAAGAUAAGGUUUAUACCCUUGCCCCUAUAUGUAACAUAAGGCAUUCACCCCUAUAUCUGUGCAAGAUGAGGUUUAUACCCCUGCCCCCGGUAGAUAUCGAUUGUUUUUCAUGUUCGCUGCAUGCAUUUUGGGUCUAUUGAUUAAAAUUGAGAAUUUUGCCAGCUAACAUGAAUUAAAUUUGCUGCCUUGCUUGCUCCCUGCGGUAGCAAUAAUCGUUACACAUUGUCCAAUUUUCCCCACUAUGUAAUAAAAUAACUAGACCCCCUUCUGAACCAAUAUUUUUAGGUGGCUCCACUUUUAAGUGGCUCCACAGUCAAAACUACCUCAUGACCCACCCCCUUUUUGACAGCUCACCCUCAUAGAAAAUAAUGAAUCAUCCCUUAUUGUUGGGGGGACCUCCUCCCUCUCAAUAUCAUCUAUACAUGACCCCCCUCUGGUAACAGCAAAACUUACAUUACCCCCCCCCAUGAAAAGACCAAAAACGCUUGUGACCCCACCACAUUUUAUAUAAAAUACAGUACAAGUAUAGACUAGAGUGAAAUAGUUCUAGGAGGGGCACUUACUUUCAAGGGGGCGCUUACUUUCGAGGGGGCACUUACUUUCAAGACUUUACAGUAUAUCAGUUAAACAAUUAAAGUGACAUUAUUUAUGACAUUAGUAAUGGUGCAAAAGUUCCUGUAAUAGGGCCUUUUUCAAGGUUUAGGCACAGGGAAGCCCAAACAUUGAUCUGUGUUUUAAUUGAAUUAUUUCACUACAUUACACUAAUAUGUCACAUAAUAAUACUCCUAUAGUCAAAC
rnacentral:lncRNA from 1 species